GCCCUCCACGGCUCCACCACUACCCGCCUUCGACGACAUCCCUUUCAUUUGUUUUACAGUGUCAUUUCUACAAACAAAGGUACACAAAGGAAAGUAUUCAAAAGAACAGAAUGUCGCUUCGAGCAGGUACCCGAACUGAGGUGAGAAAGAAGAGUUACAAAACGGGUGUGGAUGCAGAGGAGGCCAGGAGGAGGAGAGAGGACAAUUUGGUUGAGAUCCGGAAGAACAAGCGUGAAGACAAUCUCCUUAAAAAGCGGAGAGAAGGCCUUCUUUUUCAGUCUCAACUGCCCUUGGGCGAUACCACCCAAAAUGCCGCCGCAAUCGAAAAAAGUUGGAAAGUAUUCCUUUGAUGGUCCGACGAUCCUGCUUCACAGUUGGAAGCCACAACGCAGUUUAGGAAGCUGUUAUCGAUAGAACGCAGUCCUCCAAUUGAUGAAGUAAUUAAAGCUGGAGUUGUUCCUCAAUUUGUAGAGUUUCUUGGAAGGCAGGAUUUGUCUCAAUUGCAAGUACAACAAUGUUUUGUUUAAAUUGCAAUAAUUUACAU